rnacentral:rRNA from 1 species
UACGUAGGGGGCAAGCGUUGUCCGGAAUCAUUGGGCGUAAAGCGCGUGUAGGCGGUUCGAUUAGUCUGCUGUGAAAGUCCAGGGCUCAACCCUGGGAUGCCGGUGGAUACUGUCGGACUAGAGUACGGAAGAGGCGAGUGGAAUUCCCGGUGUAGCGGUGAAAUGCGCAGAUAUCAGGAAGAACACCCGUGGCGAAGGCGGCUCUCUGGGACGGUACUGACGCUGAGACGCGAAAGCGUGGGGAGCGAACAGG